AACGAACGCUGGCGGCAUGCCUAACGCAUGCAAGUCGAACGAGCCCUUCGGGGCUAGUGGCGCACGGGUGCGUAACGCGUGGGAAUCUGCCCUUAGGUACGGAAUAACUCUGGGAAACUUGAGCUAAUACCGUAUAAUGACUCCGGUCCAAAGAUUUAUCGCCUAAGGAUGAGCCCGCGUAGGAUUAGCUAGUUGGUGAGGUAAAAGCUCACCAAGGCGACGAUCCUUAGCUGGUCUGAGAGGAUGAUCAGCCACACUGGGACUGAGACACGGCCCAGACUCCUACGGGAGGCAGCAGUGGGGAAUAUUGGACAAUGGGCGAAAGCCUGAUCCAGCAAUGCCGCGUGAGUGAUGAAGGCCUUAGGGUUGUAAAGCUCUUUUACCCGGGAUGAUAAUGACAGUACCGGGAGAAUAAGCCCCGGCUAACUCCGUGCCAGCAGCCGCCGUAA
rnacentral:rRNA from 1 species